rnacentral:rRNA from 1 species
UGGGGAAUUUUGGACAAUGGGGGAAACCCUGAUUCAGCCAUCCUGCGUGUUCGAUGAAGGCCUUCGGGUUGUUAAGCACUUUUGGCAGGAAAGAAACGUCAUGGGUUAAUACCCCGUGAUACUGACGGUACCUGCAGAAUAAGCACCGGCUAACUAUGUGCCAGCAGCCGCGGUAAUACGUAGGGUGCAAGCGUUAAUCGGAAUUACUGGGCGUAAAGCGUGCGCAGGCGGUUCGGAAAGAAAGAUGUGAAAUCCCAGAGGUCAACUUUGGAACUGCAUUUUUAACUACCGGGAUAGAGUGUGUCAGAGGGAGGUAGAAUUCCGCGUGUAGCAGUGAAAUGCGUAGAUAUGCGGAGGAACACCGAUGGCGAAGGCAGCCUCCUGGGAUAACACUGACGCUCAUGAACGAAAGCGUGGGGAGCAAACAGG